AUACGGGGGUAGCAAGCGUUGUCCGGAAUUAUUGGGCGUAAAGGGUGCGUAGGCGGACUAAUAAGUCUGGUGUGAAAGUUCACGGCUCAACCGUGAAAGGCCACUGGAUACUGUUAGUCUUGAAUCAUAGAGGGGGUAGUGGAAUUCCAGGUGUAGCGGUGAAAUGCGUAGAUAUCUGGAGGAACACCGGUGGCGAAGGCGACUACCUGGCUAUGAAUUGACGCUGAGGCACGAAAGCGUGGGUAGCAAACAGGAUUAGAAACCCUUGUAGUCC
rnacentral:rRNA from 1 species